GGCCGGUUAGCUCAGCUGGUCAAAGCGUGGUGCUGAUAACACCAAGGUCAAGGGUUUAGUCCCCUUACUGGCCA